rnacentral:rRNA from 1 species
CUACGGGAGGCAGCAGUGAGGAAUAUUGCGCAAUGGGGGCAACCCUGACGCAGCGACGCCGCGUGGAUGAUGAAGGCCUUCGGGUCGUAAAAUCCUGUCAGAUGGAAAGAAAUGCCAGAUGUCUAAUAUAUGUCUGGUUUGACGGUACCAUCAAAGGAAGCACCGGCUAACUCCGUGCCAGCAGCCGCGGUAAUACGGAGGGUGCAAGCGUUGUUCGGAAUUACUGGGCGUAAAGCGCGCGUAGGCGGCUUUUUAAGUCAGAUGUGAAAGUCCACGGCUCAACCGUGGAAGUGCAUUUGAUACUGGGAAGCUUGAGUACUGGAGGGGAUGGUGGAAUUCCCGGUGUAGAGGUGAAAUUCGUAGAUAUCGGGAGGAAUACCGGUGGCGAAGGCGACCAUCUGGCCAGAUACUGACGCUGAGGUGCGAAAGCGUGGGGAGCAAACAGGAUUAGAUACCCCCGUAGUC